rnacentral:tRNA from 1 species
GGGCGAAUAGCUCAGUGGGAGAGCACCUGCCUUACAAGCAGGGGGUCAGAGGUUCGAACCCUCUUUCGCCCA